rnacentral:lncRNA from 1 species
AACUGCGUGCCCGACGGCGCCCUGCGCUGCCCCGGCCCCACGGCCGGUCUCACUCGACUAUCACUUGCCUACCUCCCUGUCAAAGUGAUCCCAUCUCAAGCUUUCAGAGGACUUAAUGAGGUCAUAAAAAUUGAAAUCUCUCAGAUUGAUUCCCUGGAAAGGAUAGAAGCUAAUGCCUUUGACAACCUCCUCAAUUUGUCUGAAAUACUGAUCCAGAACACCAAAAAUCUGAGAUACAUUGAGCCCGGAGCAUUUAUAAAUCUUCCCCGAUUAAAAUACUUGAGCAUCUGUAACACAGGCAUCAGAAAGUUUCCAGAUGUUACGAAGGUCUUCUCCUCUGAAUCAAAUUUCAUUCUGGAAAUUUGUGAUAACUUACACAUAACCACCAUACCAGGAAAUGCUUUUCAAGGGAUGAAUAAUGAAUCUGUAACACUCCCAUGGCAAAAUUGUGAUGAGGCAAUAAAGGAGCUCACCCUUAAAGAAAAAAGAGAAAACAUGGAUUGGAAUGACUCUGAAAUGAAGAGAUAGAUGUGAAGCAAAAGAAGAGAUCAUCUCAGAGGACUCUCUUUUAUAUCACUGGAUUCUAAAAAUUGGUAUCCUUGGUGCACUGCCUUUGUAUAGUACUUUUACUUUGUGUAGAUGUAAUUUUACAUGUAUAAUUGUCAUGUUACAAAGCUGUGACCAUGUAGCUUCAUCUCAGAUUAAUGCAAUCAAAAGAAUACAGAGCAGCAACCAAAAAUAAUUUCAAAAAUAACCCAUACUCUUUACUUGCAACUCUCAAACACCAGGAAAGAGAUUCUGUUGAUCCUAGAAAUAUUUCUCAACAGUCUCUCCACUCCUGCCACUUCCCUCACACACCACAGCUCUACCGGCUGCUUAUAAAGUGUUUUCAACUCACCAUUGCAUAAUGGAUCUGGAACUACUCAUUCAUCAUGUCCCCCACCAAAAACAAGGUAUUCAACAAACAAAUUCCGAAUGAGGUGAUAUCACAUGCCUUAGGAUUUGGGGUCUCCCCACAUGUCUAUAUCAAGAACACAAAAGACACAGGAUUAGAUUCAUGUCCUCGAGAAGUUCAUAGUCUCAAUGAGGGGGAAAACAUAAAAUAAUAAAAUAAUAAUACAAGCUAGUAGAUAUUCACUAUGAGAGUGUGUGGUACCUAGAAAUAAGAUCUUAGAGAAGUCCUUUUGGGCUGGGGAAGUCAGAGAGGCUUUAUGGUAGAGCUAACAGAUUUGAAUUAGACCUCAUGGAAUCAGUAACGUUUAUAUGGGUAAAUGUGAAAAUAGCAGCUAAUAUGUAUGUAGCCCUUAUUAAAUACCUGCACUGUUUUUAAGUACUUUUUAAGUCCCAUAGCAACCUUAUGAGAUAGGAACUAUCAACCCUACUUUUAGAUGAGGAGACCAAGGCAUCAAGAGGUUAAGUAUCUCUAUCUCAGGUCAAGAUUUGGUCCCAGACAGUAUGGCUCCAGAGUCAUGUUCUUAACCGUUAUGCGGUACCACAACAUACAGAGAAAGGCAGAGUAAGGAAUCCAAGUGAAGAGAUGGCAGGAGCAAAAGCAUGGCAGGAGGAGAACAGGAUGAGGCUACUACUUGGGAGUAAACAUGCUGUUUAAGGAAUGGAAAGUGAGUUUAGAUAACUGGCUGAGAUGGAGAGGACACUGAAUUGCAGAGACCCUUAAGUGCCAGGACAAGGAGACAGGCUUGGAGGUAACUCUGGAAAAAGUAAUAAAAUAAUCUAUUCAAUAGAGUAGGCUUUAUUCAAAGAUCACAAAUAUCCAUGACUCCCUUCAACUUUGAUCUAAAUCUAAAAAUAAUCAGAGACCAAUAGGUAUUCCUCCGAGGUAAAUGUACAAUGAUGGGAGUGGAGUGAAGUAGGAACGAAAAGGCAGAAGACAUGGAGGAGGGUGAAGAAGAAAACCAAUGUUGGGAUAAUCCAUAGGUAACUAUGAGCUCACAAGACUGGGCCACCCCACGAGACUCAAAGAGUAACCAAAGAUUCCUUCUCACACAUCAUACUUCAGUAUGUGCACAGAGAGCUUCAUGGUUUUCUAAUGACAGGGACAUUAACUUAUGUUGCUCAUGAUUUUAAGAAAAAGAGUGCAUGCCAGUAGGGUGUAAUUUCCCCACUCUGAAGUUAAUAAAGAUUGAGGCUCCGUCUCUCCCAGAGAGCCUGUGGGA